CUAAAGGGAGAGUUUGGCUCAGAUAUUUUAUUGUAACAUCGUCAUCAUCUCCUUUAGAUUUUUAUAUCACUGUACAUCCCAGCUGAGCAGGCUGUGCUAAUAAUUGUUCUUUUUUGGAAAAAAAAAAAAAAAAAAAAAAAAAAAAAAAAAACACUAUGAAUGUAACCCCUGUUUGCCUUCUUUCAAUUUCAUAUUUUUCUUUCUUUUGGUCCAAAAAAAUAAUUUUUAAACUAGUCAAAACGGUGCUGAAGAAUUGUUUUCUCUUACACAAACUGUAAGAGAAACUGUUUCUGCUACAGGUGAAUUUCCUCCCGCCCAGCCCCUCCCCCCCCACCAAAAUUCUGCAGGUGAAUUCAAUCCCAAAUCAAACUCUUGCUCCAUGACACCAGCUGCACAGAAUGCAAACCAAUAUAAAAGGCCUCAUGCAGAGUUGAUCUUGUUUGGGUGGUUCAACAGUGGUAUUUAGCUGCUACAUGCUGGUUCAUAGAGAAUUUCUUACUAAUGAGCAGCUUGAAUUAUAAUAUUCACAUCUGGUUCAGCAAGAGAAGAUCAAGGCGGUGUACAUCUUCAAGUUCUGCGUUUUGUGAUGUGCAUGAAGCAAAAUGAGAAUGAAUUCCAGGGAUUGCAUAAGGGAAACGUAAAUUACUGUCACUCAAAUACAUAAGACAAAAUACAGACUGGCCAGGAUGCUGCUGUGGGUCUUAUGACUGCUCGUUACUGUAUGCUGUUCAGAGAGUCCUGUCUUGGGCGAAGUUAUAAUCUGAGAGCAACACUACAUUAAGCAAGUGGGUCUUGGGCUGAGAGUGAAAGGCUGUUCCUGCUGCCGCUCGUGUCCUCCGCUGUUCAUGGCCACUACACAGGUGACUGCAGCACUGAGAAACUGUGCCAUCAUCUGUACCAGCCUACGGCAGGCACUCAGCGGAAAGGUGUGCUUCAUGAGACACACCCUACUGCAAGUGGCUUCAUAGUCCUGAGCACCUUCAGCUCACUGCUUUACCCUGGAGACUGGCUUUGCCCUGGAUCAGAAUAAUUACAGCAUGUUUCACC
rnacentral:lncRNA from 1 species